rnacentral:rRNA from 1 species
CGCAGCUAACUGUGUGAAAUCGUGUGAACUGCAGGACACAUGAACAUCGACAUUUUGAAGGCAUAUUGCGGUCCAUGCAAAAGUUUAAAUUUUUGUUUAAACUGCAUGGACCACGUAGGGUUGAGUGUCGUA